GUCCUUUUGUUUAUAAUUUAAGGUUUAACCUGCCCACUGAAUAUUUUAAAUGGCCGCAGUAAUUUGACUGUGCAAAGGUAGCAUAAUCAUUAGUUUUUUAAUUAAAAGCUUGUAUGAAAGGUUGGACGAGGUAAAUUCUGUCUUUAUUUAAUUUAAAUUAGAAUUUAAUUUUUAAGUUAAAAAGCUUAAAUAUAUUUAAAAGACGAGAAGACCCUAUAGAUCUUAAUAUUAAUUAUAAUAAAUUUAAUUAAGAAUAAUUAAUUUUUUAUUAUAAAAAAUAUUUUAUUGGGGUAAUAAAAAGAUUAAAUAAAUUCUUUUUUUAUUUUUACAUAGAUAAAUGAAUAUUUGAUCCAAAUUUAUUGAUUAAAAGAUUAAGUUACCUUAGGGAUAACAGCGUAAUUUUUUUAGAGAGUUCAUAUCGAUAAAAAAGUUUGCGA
rnacentral:rRNA from 1 species